GACGAACGCUGGCGGCGUGCUUAACACAUGCAAGUCGAACGGUGAAGCGCCUUCCUUUUUGGUGGGUGUGGAUGAGUGGCGAACGGGUGAGUAACACGUGAGUAACCUGCCCCCUUCUUCUGGAUAACCGCAUGAAAGUGUGGCUAAUACGGGAUAUUCUGGGUCUGUCGCAUGAUGGGUCUGGGAAAGAUAUUGUUUCGGUGGGGGAUGGGCUCGCGGCCUAUCAGCUUGUUGGUGGGGUGAUGGCCUACCAAGGCGGUGACGGGUAGCCGGCCUGAGAGGGUGGACGGGCACACUGGGACUGAGACACGGCCCAGACUCCUACGGGAGGCAGCAGUCGGGAAUAUGGCACAAUGGGCGCAAGCCUGAUGCAGCGACGCCGCGUGAGGGAUGGAGGCCUUCGGGUUGUGAACCUCUUUCGCCAGUGAAGCAGGCCUGCCUCGUUUGUGGGUGGGUUGACGGUAGCUGGAUAAGAAGCGCCGGCUAACUACGUG
rnacentral:rRNA from 1 species